rnacentral:rRNA from 1 species
CCUACGGGUGGCAGCAGUCAGGAAUAUUUGUCAAUGGCCGGAAGGCUGAACCAGCCAAGCCGCGUGAAGGACGAAGGUGCCAAGCAUUGUACACUUCUUUUGUCAAGGGACAAAAUCAGGCUCGAGAGCCUGACCGAGGGUACUUGAAGAAAAAGCAUCGGCAAACUCCGUGCCAGCAGCCGCGGUAAUACGGAGGAUGCGACCGUUAGCCGGAUUUAUUGGGUUUAAGGGGGGCGUGGGCGGGCUGUUAAGGCAGCGGUAAAAGCCCGGGGCUCAACCCCGGCGAGCCGUUGAUACUGGCUGUCUUGAGAUGUCGAGGGGUAUGCGGAAUGCGCAGUGUAGCAGUGAAAUGCGUAGAUAUUGCGCGGAACUCCGAUGGCGAAGGCAGGAUACCGGCGGCGAUCUGACGCUGAGGCACGAAAGCGAGGGUAUCGAACAGGAUUAGAUACCCGGGUAGUC